CUACUUACAUCAUUUAUGCAUUUCCACAUGCAAUACUCCUUAGGUAACUAUCUAGAAACUUUCCUUUCAUUAGUAAAAUUAGAAAUGAGAUGACAAGUUUAGGAUAUAAUUCUCUAAACACCAUGAUGAACAAUUUUUUGAGCACCCUUUUCAUGCAUAAUUUUGAGACCAAGAUGCACAAAUAUUUUGAAACAAGGUAAAUACGCCAGGUCACUCCCAAUGUUGAAUUGCUUCUAUGUAAGCUAUGAUUCUAGACAACAGUUACAUCAUUAUUCACUUGUGUCUCUUUUCAUUGAAUAUUUAGUUGUCAGCUCGAUCGAAACACAAAAUUUCAAGUUGACAAAUUUGCCACAUCUCUUUAAGCAUGAACCUUUUGGUUUCAUCCCAUAUAUUAUCAGUGUUUUGAUUCCUUAUUCGAACAUCACCAACAAUAGUAAGACAACAAACUCGUAUAGUCAUGAAUUAUCCAUAAAAUAUUUUAGUAGCAAGUGCCUUGCUUGUAAAAUUACCAAAUUGCAACCAAGAAUGUUGUAUGAUACCUGGUGCCUAGUUCUGUCAUGUUAUCAUCGUCCACAACAAAUGGUCUAAAAAACUCUCAUCAUAAUCAUCCUGAUAAGAGAACCUACUGGAGCUUCUAGAGAAUGAUUUAGCUGGUGAGAUAUUCAAUGAAGGUUCCACCUUCGACAUUCUUUAAGCUACAUCUUUCUCAAAACAGAAUAAUAUGCAACAAUGAGAAAUGUAUAAUACCUUAUCAGCUGUUGAGCUUGUCUUGUACAUGCUAGAACAACGCUGGUGCCUAGUUCUGUCAUGUUAUCAUCGUCCACAACAAAUGGUCUAAAAAACUCUCAUCAUAAUCAUCCUGAUAAGAGAACCUACUGGAGCUUCUAGAGAAUGAUUUGGCUGGUGAGAUAUUCAAUGAAGGUUCCACCUUCGACAUUCUUUAAGCUACAUCUUUCUCAAAACAGAAUAAUAUGCAACAAUGAGAAAUGUAUAAUACCUUAUCAGCUGUUGAGCUUGUCUUGUACAUGCUAGAACAACGCUGGGUUAUACAGCUUUCAUGGGUGCUGAGGGAAGCAACAUUUGAUUCAGAAUAUGUGGGAGAAGGUGAUG
rnacentral:lncRNA from 1 species